rnacentral:rRNA from 1 species
GAUGAACGCUGGCGGCGUGCUUAACACAUGCAAGUCGAACGAUGAAGCCCAGCUUUUUGGGUGCAUUAGUUGCGAACGGGUGAGUAACACGCGAGUAACCAGCCCUUCACUCUGGGAUAAGUCACGUAAACUGGGUCGAGUACCUGAUAGAAGCGCCUUUCACAUGACGGGUGCUGGAGAGAUUUUGCGGUCGUAGCUGGAUUCGCGGCGUAUCAGCUUCUCGGUGAAGAAAUGGUACCCUAAGGGGUCGCCGGGUAGCCGGCCCGGGAGGGUGACCGGCCACAAUGGGCCUGCGACACGGCCCAGACUGCUACGGGCGGCAGAGGUGGGGAACAUUGCACAAUGGGCGGAAGCCUGAUGCAGCGACGCCGCGUGCGGGAUGACGGCUUUCGGGUUGUAAACCUCUUUCAGUAGGGAAGAAGCGAAAGUGACGGUACCUGCAGAAGAAGCACCGGCUAACUACGUG